rnacentral:rRNA from 1 species
CGAACGCUGGCGGCGUGCUUAACACAUGCAAGUCGCACGGAAAGGCCCUGCUUGCAGGGUACUCGAGUGGCGAACGGGUGAGUAACACGUGGGUGAUCUGCCCUGCACUUCGGGAUAAGCCUGGGAAACUGGGUCUAAUACCGGAUAGGAGCCAUUUUUAGUGUGAUGGUUGGAAAGUUUUUUCGGUGUAGGAUGAGCUCGCGGCCUAUCAGCUUGUUGGUGGGGUAAUGGCCUACCAAGGCGGCGACGGGUAGCCGGCCUGAGAGGGUGGACGGCCACAUUGGGACUGAGAUACGGCCCAGACUCCUACGGGAGGCAGCAGUGGGGAAUAUUGCACAAUGGGCGCAAGCCUGAUGCAGCGACGCCGCGGGGGGGAGGACGGCCUUCGGGUUGUAAACGCCUUUCGCUAGGGACGAAGCUUUUUGUGACGGUACCUAGAGAAGAAGCACCGGCUAACUACGUG